rnacentral:rRNA from 1 species
GACGAAGGGGGCUAGCGUUGUUCGGAAUUAUUGGGCGUAAAGCGCGUGUAGGCGGCUUUGCAAGUCGGGUGUGAAAUCCCUCAGCUCAACUGAGGAAGUGCGCCCGAAACUGCAGAGCUUGAGUACCGGAGAGGAUGGCGGAAUUCCCCAAGUAGAGGUGAAAUUCGUAGAUAUGGGGAGGAACACCGGUGGCGAAGGCGGCCAUCUGGACGGAUACUGACGCUGAGGAGCGAAAGCGUGGGGAGCGAACAGG